rnacentral:sRNA from 1 species
UACUGUAAUUUUGAAUUUAUUUUUUAGAUCGCGCAAUUAUAUCGCUGACUGCAAGUUUUGAACAAAUGAAACGUCAUUUUGGUCUUUUUUUUUAUAUUUCUGCACAUCAAGAAAAUUGUGGAAUUCAACCAAACGAUUUGAUGAAAUGUGUGGAUUUGAACAUUGCGCUUACUGGUGCAUCUGGUUCAAUAAAUAAAUCGAGCCGAAUGAUUUAUGCAAUGAAUGGCAAAUAGUUUUCAAUCAUAUUCCAGAUGUUUCGUCAUCUCUAGAUGUCUAGAUUCUUUACGUUCUAUUGAUGAUCAUGGUUUGAAUAGCGUUGUUUCAAGUGUUCCUAUAGCCCUUCGUAUAGCAUUGACUAUUCCAAUUACUGUUACAUCGGGGGAAAGAAGUUAUUCCAAGUUGAAAUUAAUCCAAAAACUAUUUGAGAAUGACUAUGAUGCAAGAACGCCUGGUAAUAAUAUCAAUCAAACGAGAUAUCGCCCUGGCUCUGGAUUAUUCACAAUGUAUUCGAGACUUUGCUGCCAUCAAAGCUAAUCUUUGGUGGAGGCUUAUGAUAUCUGCAGAGGCGCGGUGGCUGAGAGGCUACCAAAGCUACUUCGCCUAGAGCCAGCUCCAAUUACCUAAGGCCCUAAGCUAUUUGAGAUAUGGGACUGCUUGUGGUCAAGAAAAGACUUUCCUUUUUCUUCAAAUCAAUAUUUUGGAUGGGGUCAGACAAGUGAGUUCUCUAAGCUCUAACUUAUGUUGUCUAUGGGUAAAGAGAGAUUACAUUUCUGCAGCUCAAAAUGUGAGAAAUUGUAUGGUCAAAACUAUUUUCAUUUUAACUGCCUACUGCCAACUUCAUAGUGUGUCUAUUUACAUCAGAAAUACUCUGAGCACCGUUGCAAAAAUGAGCAACAUUAAGACUUCUACUAGUCAAGAAAACACCAUGAGAGGUAAAGGAAAAAUGUAAGAUGAGCAUAAAAACUAUGUAUCAUACGAGAGCAGGAAAUUUAGACAAUUAAAAACUGGUUUAAUUAUUUCCAAUCAUCAAAUGACCCUUUAUAAGGACGUGAAAGAAUCCAGCCCCAAAUGAAUCAGAGAGCGUCAACUAUUUUAGGAUACAAUGGUGCAGUUAAACAGAGAAAGAGAAUGCAUAGCAACCUAAACAGAAAAGAGAAUGCAUAGUAACCUUAACAGAGAAAGAGAAUGCAUAGCAACCUAAACAGAGAAAGA